rnacentral:rRNA from 1 species
AGAGAGAGACAUGCGCGCAUAUCAAUAAGCGGAGGAAAAGAAACUAACAAGGAUUCCCCUAGUAACGGCGAGUGAAGCGGGAAGAGCUCAAAUUUGAAAUCUUAAAGGGUUUCCCUUUACGAAUUGUAGUUUAAAGAAGUGUUUUCUGUUGAGGUUUUGGUAAAAGUUCUUUGGAAUAGGACAUCAUAGAGGGUGAGAAUCCCGUAUUUGACCUUUACUUUCAACUUUGUGAUACACUUUCAAAGAGUCGGAUUGUUUGGGAAUGCAGUCCAAAAUGAGUGGUAAAUUUCAUCUAAAGCUAAAUAUUGGCGAGAGACCGAUAGCGAACAAGUACCGUGAGGGAAAGAUGAAAAGAACUUUGAAAAGAGAGUUAAACAGUACGUGAAAUUGUCAAAAGGGGAGCGUUUGACACCAGUGUUGUUUUUCUGAAAAUCAAUUAAAGAACUGUUUAUGCUAAGUUGUUUAGACUUUAUCAGCUAACUGUUUAGUUUUGAGCUUUUCUUUAAUGCACUUUUCAGUUAACAAGUCAACAUCAAUUUCUUUUGCUGUAAAAAAGCUUGAGGAAGGUGGCUUGAGAUUCGUCUUAAGUGUUUAUAGCCUCUUGCCUAUGCAGUCGGAGAGAUUGAGGUCUGCAGCGUAGAUCCUUCGGGGCUAAAUGCAUUUGUGCUAAGUUAUAGCAUUUUAUAGACAACUUGUUGACUAUGAUUUGUCUUGUAGCUUACUCGCUUAUGUUAUUUUACCUACGCUUAGGAUGUUGAGCGCAUGUCUCUCUCU